UGCACCUCUUGUAGUGGUGGUGGUGGUGGGGGGCUUGUGCGUAGAAUGUGCUCGUGUGCGUGCGUAUGACGGACGUGCUCGUGGGAUCCCCUUCGGAUCGCUGCCAUGCGCACUAGAGAAGACCAACAGCUGAUCUACAUCGACGUACUGCCCACUAAUUCUCCAUCUCCGCAGCUGCACGUUGAAGCCUGUGUACGAGAGCACGUCGUUUGCAGAGUCCGAAGGAGGGUUGUUGUUGUUGUGUUUUCCGGCAGCCACAGGAAUCACAUGAGAGCAUCGAUUCUCACCUUCAGUGGCCGGGCGUGACUUGGCCGCGCUAGAGUCGUGUUUCCACAACACCUCUACUCACGCCAUCGCCCCUUGCUGCACUUUGCGACCCCGUCGCGCGUCUCCUCUGCGUCUCACAAACCACACGAAGGCCAACGUUUAUACGGAUGCUCGUCGCUCUUCUCCUCCGGUUCGGCGGAGCCACGCUAGUGCAGGUGCUCACGCACGCAUCGUCACCUCCUCCGCCCUCUCGUGUUCUGGGCUAUUCCACCACGCACCGCACCACGCACUCUGUACACCAAGGCGUCGGACACAUGCCCUCCGCAGGGACGCAAAAGACGAGCACGCCAAGCUCUCCAUGGUGUGCGCCGAAGCCGCCCCUCUCAGCCACGGCGGACUGCGACCGUCCCUGUAUUUAGGGUUCACCUCCCCGAAACACCCAAAGUGUCCUCGUCUUGCUUGUCUCUUGCUUCCCUUUCUCUUCGCCCGCGUGUGACCGCCUUGGCUUCCUCUCGCUCUCCAUGUUCUUCUCCCGUUUCUGCCCCCCUCCCCCUCACACCCUCCUCCGCAG
rnacentral:misc_RNA from 1 species